rnacentral:rRNA from 1 species
UGGGAGAAAGUAACUGCCCGUACCGCAAACCGACACAGGUAGUUGAGGAGAGAAUCCUAAGGUGUGCGGGAGAACUCUCGUUAAGGAACUCGGCAAAAUGACCCCGUAACUUCGGGAGAAGGGGUGCUGACCGCAAGGUCAGCCGCAGUGAAUAGGCCCAAGCGACUGUUUAUCAAAAACACAGGUCUCUGCAAAAUCGAAGAUGACGUAUAGGGGCUGACGCCUGCCCGGUGCUGGAAGGUUAAGAGGAGAGGUUAGCGCAAGCGAAGCUUUGAAUUGAAGCCCCAGUAAACGGCGGCCGUAACGAUAACGGUCCUAAGGUAGCGAAAUUCCUUGUCGGGUAAGUUCCGACCCGCACGAAAGGCGUAACGAUUUGGGCACUGUCUCAACGAGAGACUCGGUGAAAUUAUAGUACCAGUGAAGAUGCUGGUUACCCGCGACAGGACGGAAAGACCCCAUGGAGCUUUACUGCAGUUUGAUAUUGCGUGUUUGUAUCACAUGUACAGGAUAGGUAGGAGCCGAAGAUACCGGGACGCCAGUCUCGGAGGAGGCAACGGUGGGAUACUACCCUUGUGAUAUGACCACUCUAACCCGCUGCUCUUAGCGAGCAGGGAGACAGUGUCAGACGGGCAGUUUGACUGGGGCGGUCGCCUCCAAAAAUGUAACGGAGGCGUCCAAAGGUUCCCUCAGAAUGGUUGGAAAUCAUUCGUAGAGUGUAAAGGCAGAAGGGGGCUUGACUGCGAGACCUACAAGUCGAGCAGGGACGAAAGUCGGGCUUAGUGAUCCGGUGGUUCCGCAUGGAAGGGCCAUCGCUCAACGGAUAAAAGCUACCCUGGGGAUAACAGGCUUAUCUCCCCCAAGAGUUCACAUCGACGGGGAGGUUUGGCACCUCGAUGUCGGCUCAUCGCAUCCUGGGGCUGUAGUCGGUCCCAAGGGUUGGGCUGUUCGCCCAUUAAAGCGGUACGCGAGCUGGGUUCAGAACGUCGUGAGACAGUUCGGUCCCUAUCCGUCGCGGGCGUUGGAAAUUUGAGAGGAGCUGUCCUUAGUACGAGAGGACCGGGAUGGACACACCGCUGGUGUACCAGUUGUUCUGCCAAGAGCAUCGCUGGGUAGCUAUGUGUGGACGGGAUAAACGCUGAAAGCAUCUAAGCGUGAAGCCCCCCUCAAGAUGAGAUUUCCCAUCACUUUAAGUGAGUAAGACCCCUGAGAGAUGAUCAGGUAGAUAGGUCGGGAGUGGAAGUACAGCGAUGUAUGGAGCGGACCAAUACUAAUCGGUCGAGGACUUAACU